rnacentral:rRNA from 1 species
UACGUAGGGUGCAGGCGUUAAUCGGAAUUACUGGGCGUAAAGCGUGCGCAGGCGGUUUGUUAAGACAGAUGUGAAAUCCCCGGGCUUAACCUGGGAACUGCAUUGGUGACUGGCGGGCUAGAGUAUGGCAGAGGGGUAGAAUUCCACGUGUAGCAGUGAAAUGCGUAGAGAUGUGGAGGAAUACCGAUGGCGAAGGCAGCCCCCUGGGCCAAUACUGACGCUCAUGCACGAAAGCGUGGGGAGCAAACAGG